rnacentral:tRNA from 1 species
GCCAGUGUGGCACAGUGGUGUGAGUGUUGGAUUAUGACUCUGGAGACCAGGGUUUGAUUCCCAACUUGGCCA